UACACACCGCCCGUCACACCAUGGGAUUGGAUUGGGCCAGAAGACGUCCGGCUAACCGCAAGGAGGCAGACGCCUAAGGUCUGGUUCGAGACUGGGGUG
rnacentral:rRNA from 1 species